rnacentral:rRNA from 1 species
GAUGAACGCUGGCGGCGUGCCUAAUACAUGCAAGUCGAACGAGUUCUCGUUGAUGAUCGGUGCUUGCACCGAGAUUCAACAUGGAACGAGUGGCGGACGGGUGAGUAACACGUGGGUAACCUGCCCUUAAGUGGGGGAUAACAUUUGGAAACAGAUGCUAAUACCGCAUAGAUCCAAGAACCGCAUGGUUCUUGGCUGAAAGAUGGCGUAAGCUAUCGCUUUUGGAUGGACCCGCGGCGUAUUAGCUAGUUGGUGAGGUAAUGGCUCACCAAGGCGAUGAUACGUAGCCGAACUGAGAGGUUGAUCGGCCACAUUGGGACUGAGACACGGCCCAAACUCCUACGGGAGGCAGCAGUAGGGAAUCUUCCACAAUGGACGCAAGUCUGAUGGAGCAACGCCGCGUGAGUGAAGAAGGCUUUCGGGUCGUAAAACUCUGUUGUUGGAGAAGAAUGGUCGGCAGAGUAACUGUUGUCGGCGUGACGGUAUCCAACCAGAAAGCCACGGCUAACUACGUGCCAGCAGCCGCGGUAAUACGUAGGUGGCAAGCGUUAUCCGGAUUUAUUGGGCGUAAAGCGAGCGCAGGCGGUUUUUUAAGUCUGAUGUGAAAGCCCUCGGCUUAACCGAGGAAGCGCAUCGGAAACUGGGAAACUUGAGUGCAGAAGAGGACAGUGGAACUCCAUGUGUAGCGGUGAAAUGCGUAGAUAUAUGGAAGAACACCAGUGGCGAAGGCGGCUGUCUGGUCUGUAACUGACGCUGAGGCUCGAAAGCAUGGGUAGCGAACAGGAUUAGAUACCCUGGUAGUCCAUGCCGUAAACGAUGAAUGCUAGGUGUUGGAGGGUUUCCGCCCUUCAGUGCCGCAGCUAACGCAUUAAGCAUUCCGCCUGGGGAGUACGACCGCAAGGUUGAAACUCAAAGGAAUUGACGGGGGCCCGCACAAGCGGUGGAGCAUGUGGUUUAAUUCGAAGCAACGCGAAGAACCUUACCAGGUCUUGACAUCUUUUGAUCACCUGAGAGAUCAGGUUUCCCCUUCGGGGGCAAAAUGACAGGUGGUGCAUGGUUGUCGUCAGCUCGUGUCGUGAGAUGUUGGGUUAAGUCCCGCAACGAGCGCAACCCUUAUGACUAGUUGCCAGCAUUUAGUUGGGCACUCUAGUAAGACUGCCGGUGACAAACCGGAGGAAGGUGGGGAUGACGUCAAAUCAUCAUGCCCCUUAUGACCUGGGCUGCACACGUGCUACAAUGGAUGGUACAACGAGUUGCGAGACCGCGAGGUCAAGCUAAUCUCUUAAAGCCAUUCUCAGUUCGGACUGUAGGCUGCAACUCGCCUACACGAAGUCGGAAUCGCUAGUAAUCGCGGAUCAGCACGCCGCGGUGAAUACGUUCCCGGGCCUUGUACACACCGCCCGUCACACCAUGAGAGUUUGUAACACCCGAAGCCGGUGGCGUAACCCUUUUAGGGAGCGAGCCGUCUAAGGUGGGACAAAUGAUUAGGGUGAAGUCGUAACAAGGUAGCCGUAG